UGGGCGAAACUGACCCAGCAACGCCGCGUGAAGGAUGAAAUCCCUCGGGAUGUAAACUUCGCAANAACCGGGAAGAAUAAGCCUGUGCUAAUACCNCAGCGAUGACGGUACCGUUUGUAAGCUCCGGCUAACUCCGUGCCAGCAGCCGCGGUAAUACGGGGGGAGCAAGCGUUGUUCGGAUUUACUGGGCGUAAAGGGCGCGUAGGCGGCCACCGCAAGUNAGUUGUGAAAUCUCCGAGCUUAACUCGGAAAGGUCAACUGAUACUGCGGGGCUAGAGUGCGGAAGGGGCAACUGGAAUUCUUGGUGUAGCGGUGAAAUGCGUAGAUAUCAAGAGGAACACCUGCGGCGAAGGCGGGUUGCUGGGCCGACACUGACGCUGAGGCGCGAAACUAGGGGAGCGAACGGGAUUAGAUACCCCGGUAGUCCUAGCCUUAAACGAUGAAUGCUUGGUGUCUGGGGUUAUAUAGUCCCCGGGUGCCGUCGCUAACGCUUUAAGCAUUCCGCCUGGGGAGUACGGCCGCAAGCU
rnacentral:rRNA from 1 species